UACGAAGGGUGCAAGCGUUAAUCGGAAUUACUGGGCGUAAAGGGGGCGUAGGCGGUUCGUUAAGUCUGUCGUGAAAUCCCCGGGCUCAACCUGGGAAUGGCGAUGGAUACUGGCGAGCUAGAGUGUGUCAGAGGAUGGUGGAAUUCCCGGUGUAGCGGUGAAAUGCGUAGAGAUCGGGAGGAACAUCAGUGGCGAAGGCGGCCAUCUGGGACAACACUGACGCUGAAGCACGAAAGCGUGGGAAGCAAACAGG
rnacentral:rRNA from 1 species